CCUACGGGGGGCAGCAGUGGGGAAUAUUGGACAAUGGGCGCAAGCCUGAUCCAGCAAUACCGCGUGUGUGAAGAAGGCCUUAGGGUUGUAAAGCACUUUCAAUGGGGAGGAAAACCUACCGGUCAAUACCCGGUAGCUUGACAUUACCUGUAGAAGAAGCACCGGCUAACUCCGUGCCAGCAGCCGCGGUAAUACGGAGGGUGCAAGCGUUAAUCGGAAUUUCCGGGCGUAAAUCGUUAAUAGGGGGGUCAAAGCCCCGGGCUUAACCUGGGAACUGCAGUUGAAACUGGCGGACUAGAGUUGAGUAGAGGGGAGUGGAAUUUCAGGUGUAGCGGUGAAAUGCGUAGAUAUCUGAAGGAACACCAGUGGCGAAGGCGACUCCCUGGACUCAAACUGACGCUGAGGUACGAAAGCGUGGGUAGCAAACAGGAUUAGAUACCCGAGUAGUC
rnacentral:rRNA from 1 species